GUGUCAGCCGCCGCGGUAGUACGUAGGGGGCAAGCGUUGUCCGGAUUUACUGGGUGUAAAGGGUGCUCAGGCGGGUUUGUAAGUCAGUGGUGAAAUCCCGGAGCUUAACUCCGGAACUGCCAUUGAUACUGCAAGCCUUGAGUUCGGGAGAGGUUGAUGGAAUAUCUGGUGUAGCAGUGAAAUGCGUAGAUAUCAGAUAGAACACCAAUGGCGAAGGCAGUCAACUGGCCCGAUACUGACGCUAAAGCACGAAAGUGUGGGUAGCAAACAGGAUUAGAUACCCUGGUAGUCCACACCCUAAACGAUGAGUACUAGACGUUGAGCCUUUUAAGGCCCAGUGUCUGAGCUAACGCAUUAAGUACUCCUCCUGGGAAGUACGAUCGCAAGGUUGAA
rnacentral:rRNA from 1 species